rnacentral:rRNA from 1 species
ACGCUCGACACCUACUGGAGGCAGCAGUGGGGAAUAUUGCACAAUGGGGGAAACCCUGAUGCAGCGACGCCGCGUGGAGGAAGAAGGUCUUCGGAUUGUAAACUCCUGUUGUUGGGGAAAAAGAGGAUGGUACCCAACAAGGAAGUGACGGCUAACUACGUGUCAGCAGUCGCGGUAAUCUGAGCGGGCUGGCAAGGC